UACGAAGGGAGCUAGCGUUGUUCGGAAUCACUGGGCGUAAAGCGCACGUAGGUGGACGAUUAAGUCAGGGGUGAAAGCCCGAGGCUCAACCUCGGAAUUGCCUUUGAUACUGGUCGUCUCGAGUCCGAGAGAGGUGGGUGGAAUUCCUAGUGUAGAGGUGAAAUUCGUAGAUAUUAGGAAGAACACCGGUGGCGAAGGCGGCCCACUGGCUCGGUACUGACACUGAGGUGCGAAAGCGUGGGGAGCAAACAGG
rnacentral:rRNA from 1 species